rnacentral:rRNA from 1 species
UACAGAGGGGGCGAGCGUUGUUCGGAAUUACUGGGCGUAAAGGGCGCGUAGGCGGCCUUCUAAGUCGAACGUGAAAUCCCCGGGCUCAACCCGGGAACUGCGUCCGAUACUGGGAGGCUUGAAUCCGGGAGAGGGAUGUGGAAUUCCAGGUGUAGCGGUGAAAUUCGUAGAUAUUCGGAAGAACACCAGUGGCGAAGGCGGCUCACUGGCUCGGAACUGACGCUGAGGUGCGAAAGCGUGGGGAGCAAACAGG